rnacentral:rRNA from 1 species
UACAGAGGGGGCGAGCGUUGUUCGGAAUUACUGGGCGUAAAGGGCGCGUAGGCGGCCUUCUAAGUCGAACGUGAAAUCCCCGGGCUCAACCCGGGAACUGCGUCCGAUACUGGGAGGCUUGAAUCCGGGAGAGGGAUGUGGAAUUCCAGGUGUAGCGGUGAAAUGCGUAGAUAUCUGGAGGAACACCGGUGGCGAAGGCGGCAUCCUGGACCGGUAUUGACGCUGAGGCGCGAAAGCCAGGGGGGCAAACGGG